ACCUGACUGCUAUCGGAUUGAUACUAAGCCAUGCGAGUCAUUGUAGCAAUACAAGGCAUACGGCUCAGUAACGCGUAGUCAACCUAACCUAUGGACGGGAAUAACCUCGGGAAACUGAGAAUAAUGCCCGAUAGAACACUAUACCUGGAAUGGUUUGUGUUCCAAAUGAUUUAUCGCCAUAGGAUGGGACUGCGGCCUAUCAGUUUGUUGGUGAGGUAAUGGCCCACCAAGACUAUUACAGGUACGGGCUCUGAGAGGAGUAGCCCGGAGAUGGGUACUGAGACACGGACCCAGGCCCUAUGGGGCGCAGCAGGCGAGAAAACUUUGCAAUGUGCGAAAGCACGACAAGGUUAAUCCGAGUGAUUUGUGCUAAACGAAUCUUUUGUUAGUCCUAGAGACACUAACGAAUAAGGGGUGGGCAAGUUCUGGUGUCAGCCGCCGCGGUAAAACCAGCACCUCAAGUGGUCAGGAUGAUUAUUGGGCCUAAAGCAUCCGUAGCCGGCUCUGUAAGUUUUCGGUUAAAUCUGUACGCUUAACGUACAGGCUGCCGGGAAUACUGCAGAGCUAGGGAGUGGGAGAGGUAGACGGUACUCGGUAGGAAGUGGUAAAAUGCUUUGAUCUAUCGAUGACCACCUGUGGCGAAGGCGGUCUACCAGAACACGUCCGACGGUGAGGGAUGAAAGCUGGGGGAGCAAACCGGAUUAGAUACCCGGGUAGUCCCAGCUGUAAACUAUGCAAACUCAGUGAUGCAUUGGCUUGUGGCCAAUGCAGUGCUGCAGGGAAGCCGUUAAGUUUGCCGCCUGGGAAGUACGUACGCAAGUAUGAAACUUAAAGGAAUUGGCGGGGGAGCACCACAAGGGGUGAAGCCUGCGGUUC
rnacentral:rRNA from 1 species